CUAUGUUUUCCAGAUAGAGAUGAUUGUUCGGGCCUCAAGAAAGGGUUAUCGCAAUUCACAAGGAAAAGGUAGUUGUGAUAAGUAAUCUGCAAUUUUUGAUAAGGUUCUCCAUAUGAAUACUAUAUUUUCAUCUUAUCAACAUGAGAUAGCUGCUUCAUCAGUGGAGUUGGUUGUGAAAACUUUUGGUAAUUUUGUGAGAAUGACUGGGCUUCAAACUGCUGCUUGGAAAUAUAUGGUGCAAUUGCAAAGAUGGGAUUAAAAGAACUUGCUGUUAAAAAAUAAUCAAUGAGAUCAAGCUCAAGCUUGGAGAAAGCUGUUUGAAGCUCGCAAUUUAUGAUUUUAAAGGGUAUUACUAGAUUUAUUAUUUGAUCAGUUUAAAGUGAAACCUUUAAUUAUUUUUAAUUAUAAUUAGUUAGUUGUAUGUGAAUUCGUUUUGGUACUAACGCUCCAAUUAAAACUGUCAAAUCUUGAACUCAAGUCAUUCAAAAUUGGAGACUGUCGAGCCUCAAUAUCCUAGGCUCGGUAUAACAGGAACUUUAAAAGUUUGUAUAUAUAGUUCAGCUAUGUAAGGUUUGUGACGAUGUUCCAUCUGCAAUCCUUGGGCAUGCGCAUCAUUUUUACUUUAUUUCAAUUUCAUCUUUGAUUGAUAUACUCUAGGAAGCUCAUUCAUGCAUAAAUCUUGUUCUCUUGUACACAAAUACUCAACAUUACCUAUCUUUUGGGAAGUUUAUUCAGCCAUUAUCGAAGUUGGAUUCUUCAUAGUUCGCAACUUGUAAAUGAAUUCUUCCCUUUUGAGAUCCUUCUACAGUCUUUUUUUUGAUAGAAAGAGAAUGACAGUUUAUAUUGUCUGCAUUUUAUGGCAAAAUGUCAUGUGAAUAAUUUUCAUGUUGUAGCAUUGGGAUAUUAUAUGAACCGCCAUUUGACUAUAAAUAGGAUCGUGUGCUAAAUUGUUGAGUGCUUGAAUAUUUCUCUUGGGAUUUUGGUUCGUGAUUUUCAUAGGAAUGUCAGUAAGGUUAAAUCUCUGCCUAUUUAAUUGUAUUCAUAUUUCUAUGGCAAGUUUGGAAGAAAUUG
rnacentral:lncRNA from 1 species